UGGUUCACUCAUUCUAGGGGAAAAGGGGAACUAGCUCCGAUGUCAUGAGAACAAUCAAAUGAGGUCCUUGGGGGCAAGACACUGAAACCUCCUGCCAAAUGCCAGCACUACCUUGCCAGCCACAUGAGUGCACUAUCUUGGAAACCGGUCCUUCAUCUCCAGACCUUUAGAGGAGUGCAGCCCCGGGUGACAUCUUGACGUUCAACCCAGUUUCUCACCAACCUGAAAGAAUCCCUCCUCUUCGGCAAGAGGGAGGUGAUGGGCUGUCAACUGCAAGGUUGCCUCUGAGACAGUGAGAAAGAAAUGAGAACACUCAUAUGCUAAUAAUUUUUGUCCUGUAAACAAGGACCAAGCAGACACAGUCUGUGACCUUGGAGUGCUCCUGUUCUAGAGGGGAGGAGCUGGCUAGGCAGUCCAAAUGGAUAUUGAGGGCUUCCAAGAGCCAUGGCACGGUUCUCAGGGCUGAGCUGGCUUUGGCACAGCCUGAUCUGAUAUGCUCCAGAUCUAUUCAUGCCACCCCGGGAAGAUGGUGGGAAGGAAAGGAAAAGCUGAAGGCCAUUGAUAAGGACAAGUGUCUCGAGGGAGAAGAGAUUUAGAAACAUCUAGAAAAUGAAGGGGGACGUGUGAGAACACCAAGGGAGUCUGUUUUGACAUCAUCCCGAACUGAACUUAAGCUGUAGCUCCUAUGAAUUGAAACGGCACACUGAAAAAGGGGAAAGAAAACAGCUUGAAACCUGUUUCAGACCCUGCGUGAGACGAGAAACAGAGUCAGCGGAAAUGAGAAGUCAGCUGGAUUCAGCAAGUCCUCAAAUGCUCUUGGAAAAGCCAGCCGGAAGUUGCUGGGGCCCAGAACACUACAGCUUCUAAGAACUUGCAAGUAAGAAAGACACAGCUUUCCACUGAAGGUUAGCUUUAAAUCUAUUCAUGAUGGAUCAGAGAUAAGAUAUGUGGAGUCCUCUGAAGCCACUGUAUCCCUCCAAGGCUAGACAGCCUACAUGCUGUGAGAAGACUCAAGCAGCUGUAUGGAGAGGCCCACACAAGAGUAACAUGGUCUUCUUGCCAACAUCCAGCACCAACUGGCCAGUUAUGUGGAUAAAUCAUCUAGAAAGUGGAUCAUCCAUCCCCAGUCAAGCCUUCAGAUAAUGACAGCACUGGCCAACAAAUUGACCACAACUUCAUGAGAGACCCUGAGCCAGAAAAACCCAGCCAAUCUACUCCCAAAUUCUUGACCUACAGAUAGUGGGAUGUAAUAAAUGUGUAUUCUUG